rnacentral:misc_RNA from 1 species
GAACAACAUGGGACCUUUGAGCUAUGAACACCUCAUAACUUAAGGGAGAACCGUUAGGCCCAUCCGGAGGUGCGGAUGCAGCAUGUGUGAGUGCAACAAUCGCAUUGAACCAUAUGGACGAACCCAAUAUACUUGUAAUCGAUCUCAAUAACGGCAAGUCAUUUAAAUCCCGGGUCUGUGUAUCCAUGCGGUCAACAUAGAGAACUAUAUCAGGAGGGCAUCUUUUAGUGUGCUUCUUUACAGCCUGUAGGAUCUUCCUGUUUGCAGCUUGGUCCAUUACCGAAGUUCGGAGUCCCGGUGUAUCCAAAAUAUUUA